rnacentral:tRNA from 1 species
GGAGGCGUGGUGUAGAGGCCUAACAUGCGGCCCUGUCACGGCCGAGAUCGCGGGUUCGAAUCCCGUCGCCUCCGCCAGAC